rnacentral:rRNA from 1 species
UACGUAGGGUGCAAGCGUUGUCCGGAAUUAUUGGGCGUAAAGAGCUCGUAGGCGGUUUGUCGCGUCUGCUGUGAAAACCCGAGGCUCAACCUCGGGCCUGCAGUGGGUACGGGCAGACUAGAGUGCGGUAGGGGAGAUUGGAAUUCCUGGUGUAGCGGUGGAAUGCGCAGAUAUCAGGAGGAACACCAAUUGCGAAGGCAGCUCGCUGGGACGGUACUGACGCUAAGGCGCGAAAGCGUGGGGAGCGAACAGG